CCUACGGGAGGCAGCAGUGAGGAAUAUUGGUCAAUGGGCGGAAGCCUGAACCAGCCAAGUAGCGUGCAGGAUGACGGCCCUACGGGUUGUAAACUGCUUUUAUACGGGAAUAACGCGCCUUACGUGUAGGGCUUUGCAUGUACCGUAUGAAUAAGGACCGGCUAAUUCCGUGCCAGCAGCCGCGGUAAUACGGAAGGUCCGGGCGUUAUCCGGAUUUAUUGGGUUUAAAGGGAGCGUAGGCGGCAUGUCAAGCGUGCUGUGAAAUGUCCGGGCUAAACCCGGGACUUGCAGCUCGAACUGGGGUGCUUGAGGCAGCGGAAAGCAGGCGGAAUUCGGGGUGUAGCGGUGAAAUGCUUAGAUAUGACGAAGAACCCCGAUUGCGAAGGCAGCUGGCUGAAGGGGAACUGACGCUGAUGCUCGAAAGCGCGGGUAUCGAACAGGAUUAGAUACCCCUUAGUC
rnacentral:rRNA from 1 species